rnacentral:rRNA from 1 species
UACGUAGGUGGCAAGCGUUGUCCGGAUUUACUGGGUGUAAAGGGCGCGUAGGCGGGACAGCAAGUCAGAUGUGAAAUCUAUGGGCUUAACCCAUAAACUGCAUUUGAAACUGUUGUUCUUGAGUAUCGGAGAGGCAGGCGGAAUUCCUAGUGUAGCGGUGAAAUGCGUAGAUAUUAGGAGGAACACCAGUGGCGAAGGCGGCCUGCUGGACGACAACUGACGCUGAGGCGCGAAAGCGUGGGGAGCAAACAGG